rnacentral:lncRNA from 1 species
CGAACUCCUGACCUCAAGUGAUCCACCCUCCUCGGCCUCCCAAAGUGCUGGGAUUACAGGCUUUACCCACUUUUAAUGGGAUUUUUUUUUUCUGUUGAAUUGUUUGAGUUACUUGUAUAUUCUGGAUAUUAGUCCCUUGUUGUACAAAGAGUUUAUAGGUAUUUUCUACUAUUCUGUAGGUUGUCUCUUCACUCUGUUGAUUUUUUUCUUUGCUAUGCAGAAGAUUUUUAAUUUAUUACAGCCCCAUUUGUCUUUUCCUUAUUUUUGUUGCCUGUGCUUUUAAGGUCUUAGUCAUAAAAUCUUUGCCUAGACCAAUGUCCUGAAAUGUUUCCCUUAUGUUUUCUUCUAAUGGUUUUAUAUAUUGGUUUUAUAUUUAAGCCUUUAAUCCAAAUUGAGUUGAUCUUUAUGUAUGGUGAAAGACAGGGGUCCAACUUUUUUUUCUGCAUAUGAAUGUCCAAUUUUCCCAAAACCAUUUAAUGAAGAGGAUGUCCUUUCCUCAAGAAGAAGAAACUGAGGCAUGAGGAAGUAUUAUUGUCAACAGAUAACAAAUAACAGAUCCAGGAUUCAGACCCAGGAAAUCUGGCUCUAGAAUCUGCACUUGUUUCAACCACUACACUCUGCUUUGUCAGAUGGCCAUGCCCUGAUGACUACAACAGUCUUGGUGACUGUCAAUGUCUUGUCAUAUAUAUUUUACCUAUGGAAUUGACUGUGAGAUGUCUUAGAUCAGUCUGUUUCUCAUUCAAUAUGGAACAUAUUUGCAAAAGCGUUUCAAAUGAUAUCUUACCACCUGUCAUGCCAACUUCUUGCCAC